rnacentral:rRNA from 1 species
CCUACGGGUGGCAGCAGUGAGGAAUAUUGGUCAAUGGGCGGAAGCCUGAACCAGCCAAGCCGCGUGCAGGAAGACGGUCCUGCGUAUCGUAAACCUCUUUUGUACGGGGACAAACGCGGAGACUAGUACCCGGAUGAGGGUACCUGACGAAAAAGCAUCGGCUAACUCCGUGCCAGCAGCCGCGGUAAUACGGAGGAUGCAAGCGUUAUCCGGAUUUAUUGGGUUUAAAGGGUGCGCAGGCGUCCGGUUAAGUUAGCGGUAAAAGCCCGGGGCUCAACUCCGGAGAGCCGUUGAUUCUGUCCGGCUAGAGUGGGGGAGAGGUAGGCGGAAUGUGUGGUGUAGCGGUGAAAUGCUUAGAGAUCGCGCAGAACACCGAUUGCGAAGGCAGCGUACCGGCUCAACACUGACGUUGAGGCACGAAAGCGUGGGGAGCGAACAGGAUUAGAUACCCUAGUAGUC